ensembl:snRNA U1 U1 spliceosomal RNA
AUACUUAUGCGUCAGGGGAGAUACCAUGAUUAUGAAAGUGGUUCUCUCAGGGGAGGCUCAUCCACUGGACUCUGGGUGUUCUGACCCCUACGAUUUCCCCAAGUGUGGGAAAUUGAUUAUAUGAUUUGUCAUAUUCAGGGACUGCAUUCAUGCUCUCCCUGU